rnacentral:lncRNA from 1 species
CACAAUUUAGGCUGUAGGAAAUUUUAGGAGAUUUUAGGUACCUAGCAAAUAGAUUGUAGAAGUUUAUUCCUUAAAUAAAUGUUUCUAAAUAUUUUCCAGUUGUCCUGUUUCCUCAUUUGACAGUUCCUCUUCCUGUGCCCAAGGCUGGGGGGUACUUCAGGGAGAUCUCAUUUCUCUGACCUGGUCCAAGCAAUGAGGGGAGCACACGGCAGGAGCGGGGAGGUACAGGCUGUGAGCAGGAGCUGCCUCAAGUGCCCGAUCCCCUUCCUUCUCUCUGCCUGUCCUCUCUGGGUGGAUGCCACUGUGGCAAUGAGCCAUUCAGCUUGUGGGGAUCCCUGGGGGUCACGGAGGUGAAUUUGACUGUCCUGCGAGCAGCAUGUGUCUGUCAGCAGCACUGCCCUUCUGCUCAGCAACCUGAGCCAUGCUGAGCCUCUUGCCAGGGAGCAGC